rnacentral:rRNA from 1 species
CAGCCCCUCGAGUGGUGGGGAUGAUUAUUGGGCCUAAAGCGUCCGUAGCCUGCCGUAUAAGUUUCCCGUUAAAUCCAGCGUCUUAAGCAUUGGACCGCGGGAAAUACUGUACGGCUAGAGAGUGGGAGAGGUCAGCGGUAUUCUGGGGGUAGGGGCGAAAUCCUUUGAUCCCCGGAGGACCACCAGUGGCGAAGGCUGCUGUCUAGAACACGUCUGACGGUCAGGGACGAAAGCUGGGGUAGCGAACCGGAUUAGAUACCCGAGUAGUCC